rnacentral:rRNA from 1 species
UACGAAGGGGGCGAGCGUUGUUCGGAAUUACUGGGCGUAAAGGGCGCGUAGGCGGUGCACCAAGUCAGGCGUGAAAGCCCCGGGCUCAACCUGGGAACGGCGCUUGGGACUGGUGCGCUCGAGUUCGGGAGAGGACGGCGGAAUUCCCAGUGUAGAGGUGAAAUUCGUAGAUAUUGGGAAGAACACCGAUGGCGAAGGCAGCCGUCUGGACCGACACUGACGCUGAGGCGCGAAAGCGUGGGGAGCAAACAGG